UCAUUGCUGUAGGGUCCUACAAUAGAACGAAACGAUCGUCCAAUGA
rnacentral:hammerhead_ribozyme from 1 species